GAAGAGAGAGCCUCCCGCCAGGCAGCUGAUAGAGAGCGACACGCUGCUGCUCGUGCGGUUGAGCCAGAAGAAGCGAGGGCUUCUCGCCAGGCGCAUGAUCGUGAAAGGCAUGCCAACGCUCGUUUAGAUGAAGAAGCGUAUCAAGCAGAAUUGCAACGCCGUCGCACUGCUUAUGCUCUACACUCAGCAGGAUUUCGUUUCAAAGGAACAGGCAAAGCCUUUGGAAAGGUUGACCCUCCACCAGUCCUUGAAGUUCCUGCCAUCUUCAUCAAGGAGGAGCCUGAUGAUGAAACUGAGGAAAUAUCUAUCAAAGAGGAACCAUUCGUAAAUGAAAACGAGGCUUGUUCAACUGCACAUCUCAGCC